rnacentral:rRNA from 1 species
GACGUAGGGCGCGAGCGUUGUCCGGAUUUAUUGGGCGUAAAGAGCUCGUAGGCGGUUUGUCGCGUCUGCUGUGAAAACGCGAGGCUCAACCUCGCGCCUGCAGUGGGUACGGGCAGACUGGAGUGCGGUAGGGGAGAUUGGAAUUCCUGGUGUAGCGGUGGAAUGCGCAGAUAUCAGGAGGAACACCGAUGGCGAAGGCAGAUCUCUGGGCCGUAACUGACGCUGAGGAGCGAAAGCCGUGGGGAGCGAACAGG